rnacentral:lncRNA from 1 species
ACUGAGGGUGUCACCCGGGACCGCGGCUCAGGAACCCCAGACGCACGGGCCUUGUGCUGUCGCUGCCGUGGCACCCCUUCUAGAAGUCGUGAAGGGGCCUCGUGACUGGGCCUCAUGCCAAACAACUCAUUACAAAAGGAGCUAUGGUCCCAGACCACAACGAAGCUUCAUGAGACCUCUCCUCAUCUGUGCACGGACAAGUGUCUGACUCUGGAGCCCAGGCUGUUGCUUUCCAGUCUGGUGGUGAAUCCUUCACAGUCUGAAAAUCUAGGUAUCUUGCACCAAGAAGUGGAAAAUAAAGAAGAGAAAUGAGAACCAUGUUUGUAUUGGCUGUCUAUAAAAUAAGAGUUCUAGGUACAUGAAAUCCACUGGUGUGCUGGUAAAUGUUUAAUAACCAGUCCUCUGGAAAGGAGAAAGUUGAAGACCCCAUUUAUACAUUUGCUCAUUUCUGUGGUGUAAAUACCCUGAAAAUAGCUGAUUUCGAGCUAUCAACAUUACUGAAGAUGGAGCUGGGAAGAGGGAGAAGUUAAGUGAAGUUUUCCAACCCACAGCUGGCAGGUAAAACUAAAUUCACAGAAAUUAAAUCCCUCCACUGAUGAAAAAGGCACCAGGCUGUAAAAAGAAGAUUAAUCUAGCAAUCAAAUACCUCGAUGAAUGUGCAGAGUGGCUUGGAAGUGAGCAGUAGUUAAAAACAAAUGUAACAAAAUAUAAGAUGGAAUACUUUACAUCACAGUUUUGGCUGAGGCUCCAAAGACUGAGAAUAAAUCAGUAUCUGCCCAGUCACCACGGUGUGCCAAAGGAGGUGCUGGAUUGCCUCGUCAGGACAUGCUACAUGGAUGGAGAGAAGAUUCCUUGGGGAGAUUUGGUGUGUGCAUAACCAGUCCUUCCAGCACUGGAGAAAGGAGGAGUCCUGCACAGGUUGUACACGAUUCUUUCCACCUGGAAACUUGAAACAUGUGCCCUGGAGUUGAGGAUGCUUGGUUUAAUGAUACUGACCUGCAAUUGAGAAGACCAAAAGGGCGAGACAUACCUUCACGCAAGGCGAGGAUGCAUGAGUUUUCCUGUGAAGCAGGAAAGAGUUUAACAAUUCACGGUUGCACAGUAGCGCUAGCGGCUUUGCGGUUUGGUCCUCAGACCCGGCAGCCGCCACUGGUGAUGAGCUGCUAGGAAGCCCCUGUCGGCAAGCUCGUUGGAGCUUGAAUCCACUGUCACCCCUCUGACUCACUGGCAAAAAAAAAAAAAAAGUUGAAGCAGAUUGUCCAGCAAAGUUCUUCAUUGGUGGGCUUAAUACGGAAACAAAUAAGAAAGCUCUUGAAGCAGUAUUUGGCUAAUAUGGACGAAUAGUGGAAGCACUCUUGAUGAAAGAGCAUGAAACCAACAAAUCAAGAGGAUUUGCUUUUGUCACCUUUGAAAGCCCAGCAGAUGCUAAGGAUGCAGCCAGAGACAUGAAUGGAAAGUCAUUAGAUGGAAAAGCCAUCAAGGUGGAACAAGCCACCAAACCAUCAUUUGAAAGUGGUAGACGUGGACUGCCUCCACCUCCAAGAAGUAGAGGCCCUCCAAAAGGUCUUAGAGGUGGAAGAGGAAGAAGUGGAGGAACCAGGAGACCUCCCUCAUGGAGAAGACACAUGGAUGACAGUGGAUACUCCAUGAAUUUUAACAUGAGUUCUUCCAGGGGACCACUCCCAGUAAAAAGAAGACCACCACCAAGAAGUGGGGGUCCUCCUCCUAAGAGUUCUGCACCUUCAGGACCAGUUCGCAGCAGCAGUGGAAUGGGAGGAAGAGCUCCUGUGUCACGUGGAAGAGAUAGUUAGUGCGGUCCACCUGGAAGGGAACCGCUGCCCUCUCGUAGAGGGUUCUUCUUGAAGACAGUUCUUCAAGCAGAGAUUAGCCAAGUUCUCGUGAUACAAGAGGUUAUGCACCACCACCACCGCGAGAUUGUACUUACCGUGAUUAUGGUCAUUUCAGUUCACGUGAUGACUAUCCAUCAAGAGGCUAUAGCGAUAGAGAUGGAUAUAAUAGUGAUCAUGACUAUUCAGAUCAUCCAGCUGGAGAUUCCUACAGAGAUUCAUAUGAAAGUUAUCGUAACUCACGUAGUGCUCCACCUACAGGAGGGCCCCCGCCCCCCCAUCUUAUGGUGGAAGCGAUGAUUAUAGCAGUUCACGUGACGGAUAUGGUGGAAGUCGAGACAGUUACUCAAGCAGCCGAAGUGAUCUCUAAUCAAGUGGUCGUGGUCGGGUUGGCAGACAAGAAAGACGGCUUCCCCCUUCUAUGGAAAUCCUCCACGUGAUUCCCACGGCAAUUCAGGCGGUGGAGCACCAAGAGGUGGUGGCAGUGGAGGAAGCCGAUCUGAUAGAGGGGGAGGCAGAAGCAGAUACUAGAAACAAACAAAACUUUAGACCAAAAUCCCAGUUCAAAGAAACAAACAAAAAGUGCAAACUAUUCUGUCAUAACUACCCAAGGACUACUUAAAGGAAAAAUUGUGUUACCUUUUAAAAAUUCCCUGUUAAGUUCCCCUCCGUAAUUUUUAUGUUCUUGUGAGGAAAAAAGUAAAACAUGUUUAAUUUUUUUGACCUCUUAUUUUUAUUUUUUUAAAUUAUACUUUAAGUUCUAGGGUACAUGUGCACAACGUGCAGGUUUGUUAUAUAGGUAUGCAUGUGUCAUGUUGGUUUGCUGCACCCAUUAACUCGUCAUUUACAUUAGGUAUUUCUCCUAAUGCUAUCCCUCCCCCUGCCCUCCACCCCCGAAAGGCCCCGGGGUGUGAUGUUCCCUGCUCUGUGUCUAAGUGUUCUCAUUGUUCAAUUCCCAAUUAUGAGUGAGAACGUGCAGUGUUUGGUUUUCUGCCCUUGUGAUAGUUUGCUCAGAAUGAUGGUUUCCAGCUACGUCCAUGUCCCUGCAAAGGACAUGAACUCAUCCUUUUUAAUGGCUGCAUAGUAUUCCAUGGUGUAUAUGUGCCACAUUUUUUAAAUUAAUUAAUUAAUUUAUUUAUUUUUUAAUUAUUAUACUUUAAGUUUUAGGGUACAUGUGCACAUUGUGCAGGUUACUUACAUACGUAUACAUGUGCCAUGCAGGUGUGCUGCACCCACUAACUUGUCAUCUAGCA